GAACGGUGAGGAGUCCCACAAUAGGACGAAACGGCCGUCCAGUGC
rnacentral:hammerhead_ribozyme from 1 species